UCUCUGUUUUCACAUGUAGGGAAACUUCCGACAGGCCAGCAGCGGUGCCCCGGUGUCCCGGGAAGAGCUGAUGAUGGUACUGUCUAGACUGGAAGAUGUGCGCCUCCGAGGCCUCUACUUCACUGAGACCCAGCGGCUCUCUCUGAGCGGGGUGGGGCUGGAGGAGGCCUCUGACACAGGAAGUGGACGCAGAGCACAUAACGUCGAGAUGUGUGCCUGCCCCCCUGACUACACUGGUGACUCAUGCCAGGGUUGUAGCCCUGGGUACUAUCGUGAUAACAAAGGCCUGUAUACCGGACGAUGUGUUCCCUGCAAUUGCAACGGACAUUCCAAUCGAUGUCAGGAUGGCUCGGGAAUAUGUAUCAACUGCCAGCACAACACUGCGGGAGAACACUGUGAGCGCUGCAGAGAGGGUCACUAUGGGAACGCCAUCCAGGGGUCCUGUAGCGUCUGCAUGUGUCCUCAUUC